rfam:Burkholderia sp. STM 7296 strain STM7296 genome assembly, contig: BN2475_Contig_017
AAAGUCCAUUACGAUGAAGGCGUAGCGAACCACAUCGGCCCCAAGCCGUGCGCUGGCGUCCGCGAGGAUGUCGGCGAAGCGUCGGUAGGGGAGCGUGCAGGCCAGCCAUUGAGCCGCGAUAUCUUUAACGUCCCGGGUGCCGACGUCGUCUAUUUGGCGGAAGGCAACACGGAGGGGCGCGCCAUCGCGAGCGCCUCGACGACCUGGCGCGGUCGCAGACCC